rnacentral:lncRNA from 1 species
AACUUUUUACUAAGGUAAAUUGCAUGCUCUUUUCGACAAGACUCGUCAUGCUGACACAAUACGCACCUCAUAGACCCCUCGAAGGCUGUCAAGUACCAGAUUAACAGAAUCAGAGGUUCCUGCAACUUAUUCUUUUUGUUUUUCAAAUGCCCCUUGGCAAUCAUUAUCCUACCUGACCGUUUGAUCUCUUUUUCGGUUCAGGCACUUCUGGCUUAUUUUUUCCUUUUUUUUUU